ensembl:misc_RNA Metazoa_SRP Metazoan signal recognition particle RNA
GCCAGGAAUGAUAGCAUGUGUCUAUAGUCCCAGCUAUUCAGGAGGCUGAAGUGGGAGGAUUGCUUGAGUCCAGGAGUUCUGGGCUGUAGUGCGCGAUGCCAGUUGAGUGUCUGCACUAAGUUCAGCAUCAGUGGGGUGAUCUCCCAGAAGCAGGAGACCACCAGGUUGCCUAAAGAGGGGUGAACUGGCCCAGGUUGGAAACAGAGCAGUGCAAAACUCCCGCACUGAUAAGUAUUGGCAUCAUACCUGUAAAGAGCGACUGCCCAGCAGCCUGGCCAACAUACUGAAACCUGCCUCU